UUCCCUAGAGACCAAACUCAGGGCCUUGUGCACUCAAGACCAAGUAUUACAUCUCCAGCCCUAACUUUCCACCUUCACAACAGAAGAAACCUAGGAGCGGUGGGAGUAAGAGAAGCACAAACUGAGUGAUGUAGAAAGCAGAUGGGAAAGAGGAUGCAUGAUGAACCAAAGGCCUGUGACCAGAGAAAAGCUGAGACAGACAUGACCAGGCCUGCCCUGUGGUCACUAGAAGCAGACGCUCACCAGGAAGGUUAAAACGGCUUGACCUGACCAAAGAACAGUACUGGAUCUUGAACACCCGGACCCAAUACCUGCUGGAAUGAGCCACACUUCACUCAUCCAGGAGAACAAAUGUUCCUAGCAGUUUGUAUUAGUACACCAGAAAGGCUGAAGAAAACGGAACUGAGAAAACACUAUCAGUCAUUUCCAAGUUGCUUGCCUUGCGAGGAGAAGCAGAAGGCAGCCCA